CGGCAUCACCAGGGAACCUGUGAACUAAGCGAGAAACAAAUAUCUAAAGCGAUGGUAAGUAUUAAGGCAGUGGAAGCAAGUAUCGAAGCAAUCAAUUUCAGGACCUAUAAACACACAGAUAAACAAUUAGAGAAAAGGGUUUCUAGAUGAAAAAAGAAGUAGAUAGAGGGACGACACGAUAUUGAUUGUUUCGAUUCAGAUUGAAACCGAUUAGCCCCAAUCCGAUAAAACCAUGGAUCGAAAAAAAUGAAGAUGGAGAAUGGCUGGAGGUGUGCUUCAUUACAAAAAAGUGCGGAACUGAAAUUAAAUCAUCGACAGUGUUAUAACAUACCUGAGGCCAAAUUUUUACUCAAAUCCAAUCAAUCUAAUAACAAACUUGAAAGAGCUGCUGAAAUUUCACCAUAUCUUCAGUGAUAUAGGAAGAGCGAGACAGGAGAGAUUAGGGGUUUUUAUGUGAGACAGAGAGGGAGAUAGCGAUUGUUCUGCAAUUUAUAGGAUUAAAAAGAAUCAGUUGGAGGAGGUGGGUAUUAUUUGGCGGAAGGGUAGAAGGGGGCGACGAUGGUGGUGGAAGUGGUUGUGGUAGAAUGUGUAAGAGAUGUUGUAGAGGGACGAAAUAUGAAUUUCUAAAUGGUAUAGUCAUUUUCGAUGGCUUCAAAAAUCUAUCAGGUGGGAAGCGGUGGAGAAUAGGUAGGUGGAGAACAAUUAUUGGAAGAGAAGAACGGUGAAUACACUAAAAAGCACCACGUAGAUAGUAAAUCUUGACUUGAAUGCAUGUGUAUCCCUCUCUAAGAACACAAAAGAAAACAAAAGGGAAAAAAUAAUAAAAAGUAAACAAAUAAGAAAAUAAAAAAUAAAAAAG
rnacentral:lncRNA from 1 species